UGGGGCUCUUGUCGUUUAAUUGUUCCGAUACCAUGUUUGUGUGUGAAUUAUUAUUCCAGACGUAUGGAUAGCAGAGGUUUUCGUGAUAAAGUUCUUUUGUCUUUUACAUAUAGUUUCAAUAGACUUAUCCUAGUCAGCCUUGAUUGAUCUACAAUGUCUAUCGAUAUAAACAAAAAGUUUUUAAGGUCUAUAUGUGGAUUAACAUUUUAAAUAUAUUCUCAAAACACUUAAAUGUGUAGCUUUUUA
rnacentral:lncRNA from 1 species